rnacentral:rRNA from 1 species
GGAAGCGGGGAUGACGUCAAGUCAGCAUGGCCUUUAUAUCCUGGGCUACACACACGCUACAAUGGUCUGUACAAUAGGUUGCCAAGCCGCGAGGCGGAGCCAAUCCUGAAAGCAGGCCUCAGUUCAGAUUGCAGUCUGCAACUCGACUGCAUGAAGCCGGAGUUGCUAGUAACCGCAGGUCAGCAAUACUGCGGUGAAUACGUUCCCGGGUCUU